rnacentral:rRNA from 1 species
AUUGAACGCUGGCGGCGUGCUUAACACAUGCAAGUCGAACGGUAACAUGCAACUGAAGUGGCAACAUGGAAGUUGUGAUGACGAGUGGCGAACGGGUGAGUAAUGCAUCGGAACAUACCUAGUAGUUGGGGAUAACUAUUCGAAAGGAUAGCUAAUACCGAAUAAGCUCUGAGGAGGAAAGGUUGGGAUACGAAAGUACCAGUCGCUACUAGAGUGGCCGAUGUCUGAUUAGCUAGUUGGUAGGGUAAAUGCCUACCAAGGCGAUGAUCAGUAGCUGUUCUGAGAGGAAGUACAGCCACACUGGAACUGAGACACGGUCCAGACUCCUACGGGAGGCAGCAGUGGGGGAAUUUUGGACAAUGGGGGCAACCCUGAUCCAGCAACGCCGCGUGAAUGAAGAAGGCCCUUGGGUUGUAAAGUUCUUUUAUAACUGAGAAGAAGUCCUAGUUUAAGAGAUGAGGAUGGAGAUAGUAAGUUAUGAAUAAGCACCGGCUAAC